UGGCCGAACUGUUCCGAGUUGUUACGUAUAAUAAAAAUCAAUGCUAAUUUAGUAUUUCCACGAAUGAAAUAGAAAAACGAAACUAAAUUUCAUUUUAAUUUUAGUCUGAGAACAUCUGAAAGAAAAUGGUCGUUCUGUACAGACUUUUAAGACCGGGUGAAGAUCCAAGUGUAGGCCUCUAUCCGAAAGACCCUCUUUCUCACGUCACUGUAGAAGACCACGUGACCUAUGGAUCUGGAGGAUCUGAAUCACGAUUUAUUUCAUGCUGCAAGUCAGAAUCAGCAAUUCAAAGAUUUGUUGCUAAAACGUGGGCAUCGUCGAUAAGGAUUGUACAAAUUGAUAUCGAUGAAGGAGACCCAGAGAUUAUUGAAAUCAUCGAUUUGACAGAUCCAGAAACCGUGGACGCAUAUUUUCAGAAAGACAACGAGAAAGGAAGAAAUUUUGCGUCAUGGGCUGAGGAAGUUUUAGUUGUCGGCAAAAUUCGACCAGAAUGCAUAACAGAACUAUAAGAGUGAAGAAAUAUGUAGAACAUAUUGUAGAGGAACUCAGUUUACAUGAGCUACGACUUCUUUGUUUUUGAAUUACAUUGAUUUGAUAAAGAUAAUUUUUAGUAAAAAAAAAACUAUAUAAAAAAAUGUAGGUUUUCUAAGUAUUUUUUAUUGUUGGGG